rnacentral:rRNA from 1 species
CACGUAGGGUGCGAGCGUUGUCCGGAAUUAUUGGGCGUAAAGAGCUCGUAGGCGGUGUGUCGCGUCGGCCGUGAAAACCUGCAGCUUAACUGUGGGCUUGCGGUCGAUACGGGCAUCACUGGAGUUCGGCAGGGGAGACUGGAAUUCCUGGUGUAGCGGUGGAAUGCGUAGAUAUCGGGAGGAACACCAGUGGCGAAGGCGGUUGCCUGGGGCUUUGCUGACGCUGAGGCGCGAAAGCGUGGGGAGCGAUCCGG